GAUGAACGCUGGCGGCGUGCCUAAUACAUGCAAGUCGAGCGAACAGACGAGGAGCUUGCUCCUCUGACGUUAGCGGCGGACGGGUGAGUAACACGUGGAUAACCUACCUAUAAGACUGGGAUAACUUCGGGAAACCGGAGCUAAUACCGGAUAAUAUAUUGAACCGCAUGGUUCAAUAGUGAAAGACGGUUUUGCUGUCACUUAUAGAUGGAUCCGCGCCGCAUUAGCUAGUUGGUAAGGUAACGGCUUACCAAGGCAACGAUGCGUAGCCGACCUGAGAGGGUGAUCGGCCACACUGGAACUGAGACACGGUCCAGACUCCUACGGGAGGCAGCAGUAGGGAAUCUUCCGCAAUGGGCGAAAGCUUGACGGAGCAACGCCGCGUGAGUGAUGAAGGUCUUCGGAUCGUAAAACUCUGUUAGUAGGGAAGAACAAAUGUGUAAGUAACUAUGCACGUCUUGACGGUACCUAAUCAGAAAGCCACGGCUAACUACGUG
rnacentral:rRNA from 1 species